AGUAGUAGUAGUAGUAGUGGUAGUAGUAGUAGUAGUAGUAGUAGUAGUAGUAGUAGUAGUAGUAGUAGUAGUGGUAGUAGUAGUAGUAGUAGUAGUAGUAGUAGUAGUAGUAGUAGUAGUAGUAGUAGUAGUAGUAGUAGCAGUAGUAGUAGUAGUAGUAGUAGUAGUAGUGGUAGUAGUAGUAGUAGUAGUAGUAGUAGUAGUAGUAGUAGUAGUGGUAGUAGUAGUGGUAGUGGUAGUAGUAGUAGUAGUAGUAGUAGUAGUAGUAGUAGUAGUAGUAGUGGUAGUAGUAGUAGUAGUGGUAGUAGUAGUAGUAGUAGUAGUGGUAGUAGUGGUAGUAGUAGUAGUAGUAGUAGUGGUAGUGGUAGUAGUAGUAGUAGUAGUAGUAUUAGUAGUAUUAGUAGU
ensembl:lncRNA